AACGGAAGGUGCAAGCGUUAAUCGGAAUUACUGGGCGUAAAGCGCGCGUAGGCGGCUUGGUAAGUCGGAUGUGAAAGCCCCGGGCUCAACCUGGGAACUGCAUUCGAUACUGCCGGGCUGGAGAACGAGAGCGGGGGGUGGAAUUCCAGGUGUAGCGGUGAAAUGCGUAGAGAUCUGGAGGAACACCAGUGGCGAAGGCGGCCCCCUGGUUCGAUACUGGCGCAGAGGAGCGAAAGCGUGGGGAGCAAACAGG
rnacentral:rRNA from 1 species